AGCACCCUUAACUGCCACGCCACCUGCCGACCCCUUAUGGACAAAGACUUAUAAACAGGUGCAAAAGUUAAUCCUCUUUUGCAACCCAGAACUCAUAGUCUAGUAUGGGUUUCGAUACAUGUAAGCAGGCAUGUU
ensembl:snoRNA